UACGGAGGGGGCUAGCGUUGUUCGGAAUUACUGGGCGUAAAGCGCACGUAGGCGGCUUUGUAAGUUAGAGGUGAAAGCCCAGGGCUCAACCCCUGGAAUUGCCUUUAAGACUGCAUCGCUUGAAUCAUGGAGAGGUGAGUGGAAUUCCGAGUGUAGAGGUGAAAUUCGUAGAUAUUCGGAAGAACACCAGUGGCGAAGGCGACUCACUGGACAUGUAUUGACGCUGAGGUG
rnacentral:rRNA from 1 species